UUCCAGACAGUAAUUUCAUUUGCAGGACAACUUACAAGGAAUUUAUUUUAAGGCCAGGUAAAACCUAAAAUCUAUGAGACAUGCAGAAAAUGCGGGCCCAAAAUAAAAGGAAAUAAAUGAGCUGGGCAUGGGAAACUCAGCUGUUGUCUCUCACAAGUUAAUUAGGGGUGACAGGAACAACAGCUCAGGGAAUCGAGUUCUCAACCCAUCCUGGUCUGCUUUCAAAGCUGCUGCUGAAGAGAAGUUUCUUCUUGUUAGUUCCUCCUAACACCUAGCAAAUCAUCACAUCCUAUCCCCUUGACACUUGAAACCAUCGUCACUGUUAAAGCAGUUGUCACCAGCAAUACCUUCCAUUUCACGGGACUCUCAUGUUUAUCAUUUGACUGACCUGCCAAGAGGCCUAGUGAUGGCCAUAUAGGAAAUUCUCUUCUCAGUUACACUGAACUUUAGUGAGGUUAAAUGACAUGAACAGCGUCAUAUGGCUAGUUAAAUAGCAGCCAAAACUCUAAUUCGAUUCCUCAGAGUCUACUAGAAAGAAGGUAAUUAUAAUAAUAAUAAUAAUCAGGUUUUAAAGCACUUUGCAGUUCAGAAAGCCGAUUCCCUCAGUCACUUUCUUGCAUCCAUUCAGGGCCCCUGCAAUGCAGUGAUAUAGGAGGGAGGCCAGGGAGUCACGAUGCAGAUUUUAUAUAAAACACAUUUGUAUGAUGGAUUCUUACCCUGGCUUCCCCAAAAUGCUAAGCCUGUGGCACAUGCUUAUGUGCUGCUGUUUCACAUGGGAACAAAGUCCCAAGGGACCAGGAGAGAAGGAAAAAAAAAAAGCAGAAGUGACGCAGAGAUGGAGGGGAUGGAACUGAUCCAGCUACUGCUUGUUUCAUCAUGACCAGUUGCUUGGUUUUAUCAGACUGUCUUAAUAUGUCUUGCAUAAGAAGAACUGCCUUGUGGUAUAGUCCAUCCAGAAGAGAGGAGGAAGGGAGAAGAACUGAUCAGCAGCCUCUGUCUCCCAUUGAUCCAAAAUUCCCUGCAUGGGGAAUUAACUUCCCAGCUCUCCUUGGUUGCAUGGUGUCUCAAUGCCUCUGCAGUAACAGAAGAAUAGUCCAUAGCACCACACGUGGCAAGGCACCACUGGCCAAUGCUUACAUGAAGCUGAUCAACAUGGUAGGGAAGAGUAGAGCCCAUUCAGAACUGGUUUUAGUGGUGGAGACUGGAGUAAAACAAGUAGCAAGUAGCCAAGGUGAUCUGAGGAAUGGGUGAGGUCAGUGGUGGAAUAGAGCAUGAGAGAUAUUUGAUACAACUAUCAAGUAAGGUAACCAGUCCACUGAUGGCCAGAGUCCAUUCAUCCUUUUACUCCCACAAAAUACAAUACUGCCAGCAUUAUAAUACUAGUCAGUUUCAGGGUGUGAUUUGAACCCAAGUCUGCUUGAUUCUGCCGCCUAUAAAAUUCCCAUGAUAACAUGUCAUAUAGAAAUACAUAUAAUCCAUAAAUGUAAA
ensembl:lncRNA